rnacentral:rRNA from 1 species
GCAGGUUGAAGGUGCGGUAACACGCACUGGAGGACCGAACCCACGUCUGUUGAAAAAGACGGGGAUGACGUGUGGCUAGGGGUGAAAGGCCAAUCAAACUCGGAGAUAGCUGGUUCUCCGCGAAAUCUAUUUAGGUAGAGCGUCACGUGAAUACCCUCGGGGGUAGAGCACUGGAUGGGCUAGGGGGCCGCGAGGCUUACCAAACCUAACCAAACUCCGAAUACCGUAGAGUAGAGCACGGCAGACAGACAUCGGGUGCUAAGGUCCGGUGUCGAAAGGGAAACAGCCCAGACCGCCAUCUAAGGUCCCUAAGUUAUGGCUAAGUGGGAAAGGAUGUAGGAAGGCCAAGACAACCAGGAGGUUGGCUUAGA